rnacentral:rRNA from 1 species
UACAGAGGGUGCGAGCGUUAAUCGGAAUUACUGGGCGUAAAGCGCGCGUAGGCGGCUUUGCAAGUCGGGUGUGAAAUCCCCAGGCUCAACCUGGGAACUGCGUCCGAUACUGGAUGGCUUGAAUUCGGGAGAGGGAUGCAGAAUUCCAGGUGUAGCGGUGAAAUGCGUAGAUAUCUGGAGGAAUACCGGUGGCGAAGGCGGCAUCCUGGACCGACAUUGACGCUGAGGAGCGAAAGCUAGGGGAGCAAACGGG